rnacentral:rRNA from 1 species
UACGGAGGGUGCACGCGUUGCUCGGAAUCACUGGGCGUAAAGCGUACGCAGGCGGCUCGAUAAGUCGGGUGUGAAAGCCCGGGGCUCAACCCCGGAAUUGCGCCCGAUACUGCCGAGCUUGAGUACGGGAGAGGGAUAGCGGAAUUCCUGGUGUAGAGGUGAAAUUCGUAGAUAUCAGGAGGGACACCAGUGGCGAAAGCGGCUUCCUGGCCCGAUACUGACGCUCAUGUACGAAAGCGUGGGGAGCAAACAGG